UACGGAGGGGACUAGCGUUGUUCGGAAUUACUGGGCGUAAAGCGCACGUAGGCGGCUUUGUAAGUCAGGGGUGAAAUCCCGGGGCUCAACCUCGGAACUGCCUUUGAUACUGCAAAUCUCGAGUCCGGAAGAGGUGAGUGGAAUUCCUAGUGUAGAGGUGAAAUUCGUAGAUAUUAGGAAGAACACCGGUGGCGAAGGCGGCCCACUGGUCCGGUACUGACGCUGAGGUGCGAAAGCGUGGGGAGCAAACAGG
rnacentral:rRNA from 1 species